UACGAGUGCCCCGAGCGUUAUCCGGAAUCAUUGGGCGUAAAGGGUGUGUAGGUGGUUGUGUUAGUCUUUCGUCAAAACCCAGGGCUCAACCUUGGAUCUGCGAGAGAAACGGCACGACUGGAGGGUGCGAGGGGUCUGUGGAACUCAUGGAGUAGGGGUGAAAUCCGUUGAUAUCAUGGGGGAACACCAAAAGCGAAGGCAGCAGACUGGCGCAUUCCUGACACUGAAACACGAAAGCGUGGGUAGCGAAUGGG
rnacentral:rRNA from 1 species